GAAGUAUAAUUUAUAGAAUUCGUUCAUCCACUCAACAAAAAUAAGAAGUUAAAAAGAUUAAUAUGAAAUGAUGAUAAUUAUGCUUGUUUUUUUUUCCAACUUUUUUUUUUUUGGAGAUGAAGAGAAACUGCAAGAAGUAGAAGCCAAAUUGCAAGAAACUCUUAACACUAGAAAUCUUUUUACUAGACGUCCAGCAGAUAACUCAAAAUCUUUGAUCACACAUGUCUCUCGGCUCGUGCAUGCUAUGUAAGAGCGACCCAAAUAUCAUGUACAUGGCUAGUUCGGGUCGGUUCAAUGUGUGAAUAAUAAUAAUAACAUAUACUGCAUUGUGUGAUAUUAGUGAGAGCCUAUCAAAAUUGCCUGCAUCAGCUAAGUGCCAUAUCUAU
rnacentral:lncRNA from 1 species